rnacentral:rRNA from 1 species
UAGCAUAUCAAUAAGGGGAGGAAAAGAAACCAACAGGGAUUGCCCUAGUAACGGCGAGUGAAGCGGCAACAGCUCAAAUUUGAAAUCUGGCUCUUUCAGAGUCCGAGUUGUAAUUUGCAGAGGGCGCUUUGGCUUUGGCAGCGGUCCAAGUUCCUUGGAACAGGACGUCACAGAGGGUGAGAAUCCCGUACGUGGUCGCUAGCUAUUGCCGUGUAAAGCCCCUUCGACGAGUCGAGUUGUUUGGGAAUGCAGCUCUAAAUGGGAGGUAAAUUUCUUCUAAAGCUAAAUAUUGGCCAGAGACCGAUAGCGCACAAGUAGAGUGAUCGAAAGAUGAAAAGCACUUUGGAAAGAGAGUCAAACAGCACGUGAAAUUGUUGAAAGGGAAGCGCUUGCAGCCAGACUUGCUUGCAGUUGCUCAUCCGGGCUUUUGCCCGGUGCACUCUUCUGUAGGCAGGCCAGCAUCAGUUUGGGCGGUGGGAUAAAGGUCUCUGUCACGUACCUCUCUUCGGGGAGGCCUUAUAGGGGAGACGACAUACCACCAGCCUAGACUGAGGUCCGCGCAUCUGCUAGGAUGCUGGCGUAAUGGCUGUAAGCGGCCCGUCUUGAAACACGGACCAAGGAGUCUAACAUCUAUGCGAGUGUUUGGGUGUCAAGCCCGAGCGCGUAAUGAAAGUGAACGGAGGUGGGAACCCGCAAGGGUGCACCAUCGACCGAUCCUGAAGUUUACGGAAGGAUUUGAGUAAGAGCAUGGCUGUUGGGACCCGAAAGAUGGUGAACUAUGCUUGAAUAGGGUGAAGCCAGAGGAAACUCUGGUGGAGGCUCGCAGCGGUUCUGACGUGCAAAUCGAUCGUCAAAUUUGGGCAUAGGGGCGAAAGACUAAUCGAACUAUCUAGUAGCUGGUUCCUGC